AUAAGGUGAAUGGGCAGGUGGCGAAAAGUGGAAGCCAAUAUGGGUUUUGAUUUUGUGAUAGUGGGCGGGUCCCACUUGAGGGUCUUAAUGGGUUGAAUUUAUUACAUAUAUAUAUAUAUAUAUAUAUAUGUAUAUAUAUAUAAAUAGCAAUUGAUGAAAUGAUGCAUAAAGGGAGCAGCCGAGAUUGUGAAAGGAAGAAAGAUGAAUUAUGGUGGCGGGUCCCAUUGAUUGAUAUUUUGGCACUAUUUAUUUGACUUUGGCUUUUUCCACGUUCUAAUGUGAGUUUAGAUUGCAUUCUUUGUAUUUGAAAUUUGAUUGUUAAAGUGAUAUAUGAAGAGAUAAGGAAUGGAAAGGAAGUGGGUGGCGGGUCCACUAGUGUCUUUUGAUUCUUGAUAUUUAUUUUGUAGUCUGAGCAGUGUUGUGUCAAUUUUCUAUUUAUAUCAGUAUCAGUUUGUGAGUUUGAGAAUGAUACAAAGGAAAGAAGAAAAAAAAAAUAGAGGAACACACUGUCAGCCGAGAGCUCUAGGAGAGAGAAACCCGAGAUGGACUUGAUGCUCAGAUGAUGAUGUGAUUCUUUUGCAGAUUUCAAGUACUGAGGAUGAGCUUGGAUUGAUAGCUGUGGGCUUAGGUGGAAGAGUUGGUGUUGAGGAUUUUAUUCUAUUAUCUAGAGAAUUUUGUAUAUUUAUUUUUGAGGAAUUGAUUUAGUACCAAUUUAAUUGAAUUUGAGAUGUUAUAUUUAUUUGAGGAAUUGAUUCUGUAUCAAUAAAAGAGUAUUCUUUUUGAGAUCCUGGGUGUGUAUUUAAGUAUUUUGAUUUAAUGAAAUCGAGGAUUUUAUUUAGAAAAAUUCGGGGCGUGACAAAAUGGUAUCAGAGCCUGUAUCCAGCCGGAAGUGUGAGUUUGGUGAUGAUGUUGUCGGGUGUGUGUGGGCGAGUGUUUAGUUCUGACUAGCUACCACUUGUAGCCGGGUGUGUGUGUCCGGAUGUCAUUCACUGGCAGCUAUUAGGAUGAUUACUAUUGGUGAUUAGGGGCAGGUGUCCUUAGAUCACUAGUGGUUUUAUUUUAUGGGCGGGUGACGGCAUCGUCUAGUUACCACAACGGUUAUAGAUUGUGUGGGCGGGUUAAUAGCACUCUCAGUUACCACAAUUUUUUUUCAUGUCACUGAAUUUCACAUCGCUUGGGGUAAGGAAAAUUUUAGAUUUUUUUUAGCCACUUUGGUUGUUUUCGGGUAUACGAAGACCGUUGGAUCUGAAUUUCAGGACGAAAUUCUUUUUAAGUGGUGGAGAAUGUGACAACCCAGAUUUUUAAGAGUUGAAAUUUAAUUAUUUGGUGACUUUUUAGUUGUCAUUGAUUAUUUUAUUUAAAUUGGAGACUUACCAAUUGUGAGAUUUAAAUUGAUUUGAUUUUAGUUUAAUUACAUAUGUGAUAUAUAUAUAUAUAUAUAUAUAUAUAUAUAUAUAUAUUGCUUGUCUGAUGAAGGAGAUGCCACCAGUAGCCGAAUUGGGGGGAAAGGAAUAAGAAAUGGUUAUGGUAAUUUUCGGGUCCCACUUGAAGGCAUUUAAAUGCUUUGAAUUAUUUUAUUACCUUUGUAUAUAUAAUGAUAUAUACAUAUGUUUAGUACCUUGUCUAAGCAAAAUGGAUGGAAUGCAUGUCCCAGCCGAGAUUGGGAUGAGGUGAAUGGACAGGUGGCGAAAAGUGGAAGCCAAUAUGGGUUUUGAUUUCGUGAUAGUGGGCGGGUCCCACUUGAGGGUCUUAAUGGGUUGAAUUUAUUACACACACACACACAUAUAUAUAUAUAUAUAUAGCAAUUGAUGAAAUGAUGCAUAAAGGGAGCAGCCGAGAUUGUGAAAGGAAGAAAGAUGAAUUAUGGUGGCGGGUCCCAUUGAUUGAUAUUUUGGCACUAUUUAUUUGACUUUGGCUUUUUCCACGUUCUGAUGUGAGUUUAGAUUGCAUUCUUUGUAUUUGAAAUUUGAUUGUUAAAGUGAUAUCUGAAGAGAUAAGGACUGGAAAGGAAGUGGGUGGCGGGUCCACUAGUGUCUUUUGAUUCUUGAUAUUUAUUUUGUAGUCUGAGCAGUGUUGUGUCAAUUUUCUAUUUAUAUCAGUAUCAGUUUGUGAGUUUGAGAAUGAUACAAAGCAAAGAAAAAAAAAUAGAGGAACACACUGUGAGCCGAGAGCUCUAGGAGAUGUUAUAUUUAUUUGAGGAAUUGAUUCUGUAUCAAUAAAAGAGUAUUCUUUUUGA